AUUGAACGCUGGCGGCAUGCCUUACACAUGCAAGUCGAACGGCAGCACGGGAGCUUGCUCCUGGUGGCGAGUGGCGAACGGGUGAGUAAUACAUCGGAACGUACCCUGAAGUGGGGGAUAACGUAGCGAAAGUUACGCUAAUACCGCAUAUUCUGUGAGCAGGAAAGAGGGGGAUCGCAAGACCUCUUGCUUUAGGAGCGGCCGAUGUCGGGUUAGCUAGUUGGUGAGGUAAAGGCUCACCAAGGCGACGAUCCGUAGCGGGUCUGAGAGGAUGAUCCGCCACACUGGGACUGAGACACGGCCCAGACUCCUACGGGAGGCAGCAGUGGGGAAUUUUGGACAAUGGGCGCAAGCCUGAUCCAGCCAUGCCGCGUGAGUGAAGAAGGCCUCGGUU
rnacentral:rRNA from 1 species